AUAGUACUCCCUCCGUCCGAAAAUACUUGUCAUCAAAAUGGACAAAAAGGAAUGUAUCUAGAACUAAAAUACAUCUAGAUACAUCCUCUUUUAUUCAUUUUGAUGACAAGUAUUUCCGGACGGAGGGAGUAGUUU
rnacentral:pre_miRNA from 1 species